rnacentral:piRNA from 1 species
AUCUACCGCAUGAUCAAACUAGGCCUGG